UACGUAGGGGGCAAGCGUUGUCCGGAAUCAUUGGGCGUAAAGCGCGUGUAGGCGGCUCGGUAAGUCCGCUCUGAAAGUCCAGGGCUCAACCCUGGGAUGCGGGUGGAUACUGCCGGGCUCGAGUCCGGAAGAGGCGAGUGGAAUUCCCGGUGUAGCGGUGAAAUGCGCAGAUAUCGGGAGGAACACCAGUGGCGAAGGCGGUUACCUGGGGCUUUGCUGACGCUGAUGCGCGAAAGCGUGGGGAGCGAUCCGG
rnacentral:rRNA from 1 species